AGUCUAACCUGCCCACUGAGGGUUUAAAGGGCCGCGGUAUUAUGACCGUGCGAAGGUAGCAUAAUCAUUAGUCUUUUAAUUGGAGGCUGGUAUGAAGGGUUGGACGAGAGAUUGACUGUCUCAUAUCUUGGAUAUUGAAUUUAACUUUUAAGUGAGAGGGCUUAAAUAGGUUAGAGGGACGAUAAGACCCUGUAAAGUUUUUACAUUAGGGUUAACUAGAAAUGAUUUAGAUUGGUAAGGUUAAUUGUUAAUUAGGUGUUUAGUUGGGGCGACUAGGAUAUAAGUUAUAUAACUGUUUCUUUGUAGGAAUCAAAAAUAUUUGAGUUUAUGACCCUUUAUAAGGAUUGUAGAAUAAAUUACUUUAGGGAUAACAGCGUAAUUUUUUUUGAGAGUUCUUAUCGACAAAAGAGUUUGCGACCUCGAUGUUGAAUUAAAAUUUCUUUGUGAUGUAGCAGUUACAAGAGAGGGUCUGUUCGACCUUUAAAUUUUUACAUGAUUUGAGUUCAGACCGGCGUAAGCCAGGUUGGUUUU
rnacentral:rRNA from 1 species